rnacentral:rRNA from 1 species
AUGGCCACCUGCCUCUCUGAUAUCAUUAGUGACCAUUCCAUUGACUUUAUAGGAUUACAUGAAACCUUGAAAAAAGAUUUCUCCCCCAAACUUCUUAGAAGGCUCGAUCCUUUUAGUUCUUUUCAUUGGGAAUGGAUCCCUGCUAUUGGUAAAUCUGGGGGCAUUCUGUGUGGUAUUCGCAGCAGCAACCUGGAGUUGCUGAAAUGCAUCAAAGGGAGUUAUGUGUUACAAUUAAAUGUUAAAGACCUUAGAAUCAAGAAUAUUUGGAGCCUUCUGGUGGUCUAUGGAUCUGCUCAUGAGGAGCAUAGAGAGGAUUUCCUGAUGGAGCUGGCUUCCUUUUGCCAUAAUACUGAUAUUCCUUAUAUUGUUGGGGGCGACUUUAACAUUCUGAGACACACUGGUGAGAAGAAUAAAAAGUUGAAUAAAUCCAAAUCAACUGACGUUUUCAACUCUAUCAUCAAUACCCUGGGCCUUAGGGAAAUUUAUAUGAGUGGGGGUAAGUAUACUUGGUCCAACAACCAAUCCCACCCCACACUCGAGAGACUGGAUAGGGUGCUCAUGUCUGACUCUUGGGAGAAAAUGUUCCCCUUGGUCUCCAUGAGAAAACUGGCUAGAGAAUUACCUGACCACAAUCCUCUCUUGAUAUACACUGAAGGGGAGAAAAGAACACCCACCAAAGCUCGGGAGUUCCGUUUUGAUCUCUCGUGGCUCAAAGAUGAUAGGUUUUUCAACCUAGUGGCUAAUAUCUGGAACAGAAAGGUUGCUGCCUCGGACCCCAUUGAUAUUCUGAAUCUCAAGCUUAAAAGAUUUAAGUCUUAUUUCAAGGGGUGGGGCUCGGAUAAGUUUGGUCAUGCCAAAAAACGUAAAGAGGAACUACGCCUCGAGCUCGAAUUACUAGAAGAGGCAGAGGAGGAGGGCCCCCUGCUGCCGGAGUUAUAUUGUAGAAAACUCGAUGUGUGCUUUGAGCUUCAGGAGAUGCUAGUUGCUGAAGAGAUCUAUUGGCUGCAGCAAUCGCAUGAACGAUGGCUGCUCAGGGGAGACCGCAAUACGGACUACUUUCAUAAAAUAGCUAAUGGCCGCAAACGAAAAAAAUACUAUCCAUGCUCUCAAAUAUGGAGAGGCCACUAG